UUCCACAUCUCCUCCUUCCUCUUCUUCGGUGUCUGGUUCUCCCUAGUCUUCUCUCAGAUCGCCUUCUUCUUCUGCUCGUCGCUGGUGACCUCAUUCAAUUGGUGGAUUGUCGCCGCCUUCCUCCGCGCCGAUUCCACCUUCCUGCUACGCUAUUCCUUUUGUCCUCCAUGUUCUCAACUGUGUUCCUCUGAUUAGCCGCUCGCUGAGAACUGCACAACCGAUGUUUUACCCGUAUCUGAGGACUCUUGGCAACAUCAGCUCCUCUGGUGCAACCGAUUUGCGGAGGAGGCGAGAGUAAAAAAGAAAGAGAGAGAAGAGAACAGGAAAUAAGAGAAAGAAGAAUAAGAAGAAGGAGACGAAAAGCUCUCUGGGUUUUCUUUGAUCUGUUGCUGACCAAAGGAAGAUUCGUCUUCAGCUGACCAAGCCUGUUACUUAGCCUCCAUUGGUAUGGGGAGUUUGCGGAGCUACUGCCUCUGUACAUUACAUCGGGACGGGACACAGUUCGAUUCGAGCGGUAAUUAGGGGACAUCGUUCAGUUCAGUCGGACAAGUUAAGAAGAAGGGAAAGAGAUGAAGAAGAAAGCUCUGGAAUGGAAGAGGUUCUGUUACAUGACUGCCUAUUGGUUGAUCCUAAAGAGCUUGCAGACCCAUCUUUUAACUCCCAGCAACAGAGGGAAAGGUUCUCACAUCUUUUGCAUCUGGCUGUGCUACCUCAUUAGUAGUUGAUAGGUGAAUCGAAGCAAUGGACAUAGUCAAGGCAAUUACCAGCUCCUUUGAGAAAGGAUGUUGGGGCACAAAGUCUCCAAAGAGUUUGAAGCAAGUUCAUUCUGG